rnacentral:tRNA from 1 species
UGUUAUGCGGCUUAAUUUGUUGAAGCGCUGGACUAGCGAUACGCAGUCGUGGAUUCGAAUCCCACCAAAACAA